rnacentral:rRNA from 1 species
AUACGGAGGGUGCAAGCGUUAUUCGGAAUCACUGGGCGUAAAGGGUGCGUAGGCGGUUUGGUAAGUCUGAUGUGAAAUCCUAUGGCUCAACCAUAGAACUCCAUUGGAAACUGCUAAACUAGAAUACUGAAGGGGCAGAUGGAAUUAGUGGUGUAGGGGUAAAAUCCGUAGAUAUCACUAGGAAUACCGAAAGCGAAAGCGAUCUGCUGGGAAGUUAUUGACGCUGAGGCACGAAAGCGUGGGGAGCAAACGGGAUUAGAAACCCCAGUAGUCC